rnacentral:lncRNA from 1 species
AACUUUUUUUCAUGAUUCCGAAAAUCUGGCAAAAAUUCAAAAAGUAGAGGAGCAAACAUCCUUAUCUGAUAUAGUGCUAUUUAAGAAAUUGCCUGCUUAUCACUCCUUGUCUUUUCACCAUUAUAACACAAAUAGUUGCAAAUUCUUGUAAACUUCUCAUAUAUUUGAAUGAAAAAAGCGCUAAUGUAAAAGGAAAAACAAUCUACAGAGACUUAUUUUCCAUCAAAUUUCCAAUAGCCUACAUCUAUAAAAUAAGGACAUGGACCUUUUAUUUUGUUUAUGUUAAUUUCAGUUGUUGUUGUACUAUAAAUAAAUAUUAGUGCUUUAAAACUCCUAAUAUUUUGAGUGUCAGUACGCAUACCAUGUAUGAUUAUGCCACAAA